UAGCGCGGUGGUCCCACCUGACCCCAUGCCGAACUCAGAAGUGAAACGCCGUAGCGCCGAUGGUAGUGUGGGGUCUCCCCAUGCGAGAGUAGGGAACUGCCAGGU
rnacentral:rRNA from 3 species